rnacentral:rRNA from 1 species
GCCGCGGUACUUUGACCGUGCUAAGGUAGCAUAAUCAGUUGACUUUUAAUUGAAGUCUGGAAUGAAUGGAUAAAUGGGGGUCAGCUGUCUCCAUAAAAUUUUAUUGAACUUACUUUUAAGGUGAAAAAGCCUUAACUUAAUAAAAAGACGAGAAGACCCUAGGAGCUUUAUAAUUAUUUUGUUGGGGCGACAAGGGAAAAUAUAUAGAAUAAUCUUCCCUUAAUGGUUUUUUAUACAAGACGAGUAUCUAAGAAAGAAAAAGCUACCCUAGGGAUAACAGCAUAAUUUAUUAAUUAAGAUUGUGACCUCGAUGUUGGACUAGGAAUUAGAUA